ACUCAUCUUCUGGCGAGUCAUCGGCUACUCAGCUCCCACCGCUCAAAAUGGUGUUUGGGGCCAAACCUAGGCCAAGCAAGAAGGCCCGCCUGGACAAAGCGGCCGAAGAGGAUGUCGUUCUUGAAGCGGACAAGACACCCAACGCUGAAGCAGCUAUUCCUAUGGAUAUUCCCAACGAUCCACCGCAAUAAGAUGAUGAUCUUAUUGUAGAAGAGAGACCCAUUGACACCUCAGAUCCUACCCAUCGGCCUACAGGUUCCAUCCGGAUUGAAAGCUCCACCGGUCCAGCAAAGCCUACUGACAAGCCAACAACUCCAGUGCAAACCGGCGGUACCAAAGAUGAUGAGGUUGUUAUUACUUGUACUGGCCAUACUGAGCCAAACAAUCCUGUCGCUUUAUCCAAACAUUCUGCCAAGGAAGAACUUGCUGCCUUUGGUAAAGGUAAGUGGAACGCUGAUCUGACGACUUACGCUGCUCCGAACGCCCAAGAUAUCCAUUCCGGCUAUCUUAACCGGCUGUAUACCAGCCGUGACUAUGAAGCCGGUCUGGUCAAUAUGAUAAAAGACAAAUAUGAGGCGGAGCUGAAGACGAAAGAGAACCAAGUCAUCGAUCUUCAAGAAGCCCUGAAAAC